AGGCUGCAGUGAAUUCUACAAAGAGGCUAUGGGAAAGAAACCUGGAAAGUACCCUUGGCUGUGUACAUUUGAGUAAAGAGAGCACUAUAAAAUCAAAAACCAAUGAAAUGGUUUCCAGAACACAGAACUAUUAAGCUUAAGAAAAGGACAGAAGGAACUGAAGAGAGAGGAACUGUUUUGGAGCAUCACACUUCCACCUCAGAAGAAAUAAGGAAGGAAGGAGGAGGGUGUUCCCACGGCUCUUCAACCAGGCCGGCUCUUCAGCCUACAUCCCCAUCUCAUCAAGUAAAAGGGAUUUUUCAACUGGACCAACCAGAUGGUUUAACAGUGCACUCCCACACCAUUCAACUACGCAAGGGAGAUACACUUAACAUAUGCAGUCGUAUAACACCUACUAACAUUUUCAAACAUUAAACCUUUAAAAAAGAGUUCUAAAGAAAUAGAAGCUUGAAGUAUCAUCUCUCAAGUAUAUAGACACUACUUCAUGGUGUGGUAAUAUAUGCAUAUAGAAGCUAGUAAACACCUCCAGGAGAUGCAAAAGGAAUUAGAACUGCCACAAGGUGCAAGCAAAACCUUGAGGUGAGAAAAUCGAAUUUGGACACCGUUGAGGAGACUAUUGCAGUCAUCCAAGCUCAAGAUGGUGGAGCUUCAUCCUUGAGAAUAACCAAUGGGGAUAGAUUUAAGAGACACUUAGAGUCUGCAGCCAACAGGGCUGAAUGAGCAAUGGUGUCAGCUUCCUCAAACCACACAGCUGACCGUGGAGAAAGAGAUCGUUUGUCAAAAGACAGUUGAGGUCCUGUUACCGGGGGGAAAAAUGCCAGAAACAAAAGUUCUGUUUUUCCUCUUCUAAUCCUUCACCCAUCUGAGCUAAAGUCUAGACCUAAGGAGGCUACUAAUUCAGGGAUCGAGUAAUCUGCCAAGCAAGAGUUUAUUCAAGCACAGUUUGAAAUAAAGGUUUCAAAUGCAUAGCCUGUCGAUACUUUGGAAGGAUUCUCAUCAUAACGAGUAUGCAAUUUGCUAUAAAGAAGAAUGCCCAUUACGGACUAAAUGUUUAUGUCCUCCUAAAAUUCAUAUGUUGAAGGCCUAACUCUCAAUGUGAUGAUUAUGUGGAGAUGGUGCCUUUGGGAGGUAACUGGGCUUAGAUGUGGGCGUGAGGGUGGGGCCUCAUGGUGAAAUUUGUGCCCUUGUAAGAAAAACACACCACAGGUUUUCAUUCUUCCUCUGCCACAUGAGGCCACAGUAAGAAUGUGACCAUCUGCUAGCCAGGAGGAAAGUCCUCACUGGAACCCGCCCAUAAUAACACUCCAGUCUGGGGCUUUUCAGCCUCCAGAACCAUGAGAAAUAAAUUUCUAGUGUUUAAG
rnacentral:lncRNA from 1 species